UUGGGGACUCAAAUCCAAGUCUGUUCAGGCCAGAAGACGUGUAUUUUGAAUCUCUGCUCUCUCAGCUGACACCUGCCCUCCAGAAUUCGAGCUGUGGUUAUUUGAUUUUUAGAUGAUCUGCAUGAAGCCCAGAGUAUCAUGUGCCAGGUCAAAUCUGUCAUCCAAUGACCAGGAUUGAAAUCCUCAGCUAUAUCACCAGCUAGCUUUGUGUUGGGUUCUCUCAGAACUGUUCUGGCUGACUGGCAAUCAAGGACAUUUUGAUGGAGGCUAUAUGAUGGAACGCUUUUGACGUUAUCCAUUUUAGUUCAUAACUGACAUGACUUGGCAGAUGAAUGCAGUGACGUCAAAAAUGGAAAGAAUCAAAACUGGAAGUUAAUGAAUGUUUGUCUUAUCACUGGGAUCCUGGUCAAAUGCUGUUGACUUCAUGAAGCUUUCCUCAAGCCUUCAGAACCCCAUCUC